rnacentral:rRNA from 1 species
CCAAUGGAAGGGACCACAGGGGCUUGCCUCAGUAACGGCGAGUGAAGCGGCAACAGCUCAAAUUUGAAAGCUGGCUCCUUCGGGGCCCGCGUUGUAAUUUGUAGAGGAUGCUUCGGGUGCGGCGCCGGUCUAAGUUCUUUGGAACAAGACGUCAUGGAGGGUGAGAAUCCCGUAUGUGACUGGUUGCCUGCGCCUGUGUGAAGCUCCUUCGACGAGUCGAGUUGUUUGGGAAUGCAGCUCUAAAUGGGUGGUGUACUUCAUCUAAAGCUAAAUAUUGGGUCUAGACCGAUAGCGCACAAGUAGAGUGAUCGAAAGAUGAAAAGCACUUUGGAAAGAGAGUUAAACAGUACGUGAAAUUGUUGAAAGGGAAGCGCUUGCAAUCAGACUUGCGCUGCGCCGAUCAACCUGGGUUUUCCCUGGUGCACUCGGUGCAGCGCAGGCCAGCAUCAGUUUUGGCGGUUGGAUAAAGGCCUGGGGAAUGUGGGUUGCUUCGGCAGCCGUUAUAGCCCCGGGUGCAAUGCAGCCUGCCAGGACUGAGGACCGCGCUUCGGCUAGGAUGCUGGCGUAAUGGUUGUAAGCGACCCGUCUUGAAACACGGACCAAGGAGUCUAACAUUUGUGCGAGUGUUUGGGUGUCAAACCCAUGCGCGUAAUGAAAGUGAACGGAGGUGAGAACCCUUAAGGGUGCAUCAUCGACCGAUCCUGAUGUCUUCGGAUGGAUUUGAGUAAGAGCACAGCUGUUGGGACCCGAAAGAUGGUGAACUAUGCCUGAAUAGGGUGAAGCCAGAGGAAACUCUGGUGGAGGCUCGCAGCGGUUCUGACGUGCAAAUCGAUCGUCAAAUUUGGGCAUAGGGGCGAAAGACUAAUCGAACCCAUCUUUGGGGC